rnacentral:rRNA from 1 species
AGUCGAACGGCAGCAUAGGUGCUUGCACCUGAUGGCGAGUGGCGAACGGGUGAGUAAUAUAUCGGAACGUGUCCGGAAGUGGGGGAUAACGCAGCGAAAGUUGCGCUAAUACCGCAUAUGCCCUGAGGGGGAAAGGGGGGGAUCGCAAGACCUCUCGCUUUCGGAGUGGCCGAUAUCGGAUUAGCUAGUUGGUGGGGUAAAGGCCUACCAAGGCGACGAUCUGUAGCUGGUCUGAGAGGACGACCAGCCACACUGGGACUGAGACACGGCCCAGACUCCUACGGGAGGCAGCAGUGGGGAAUUUUGGACAAUGGGCGCAAGCCUGAUCCAGCCAUGCCGCGUGAGUGAAGAAGGCCUUCGGGUUGUAAAGCUCUUUCAGACGGAAAGAAAACGUGCAGAUUAAUACUCUGUAUGGAUGACGGUACCGUCAGAAGAAGCACCGGCUAACUACGUGCCAGCAGCCGCGGUAAU